rnacentral:rRNA from 1 species
GGAUAACAGUUAGAAAUGACUGCUAAUACCGCAUAAGCGCACAAGAUUGCAUGAUCAUGUGUGAAAAACUCCGGUGGUAUGAGAUGGAUCCGCGUCUGAUUAGCCAGUUGGCGGGGUAACGGCCCACCAAAGCGACGAUCAGUAGCCGACCUGAGAGGGUGACCGGCCACAUUGGGACUGAGACACGGCCCAAACUCCUACGGGAGGCAGCAGUGGGGGAUAUUGCACAAUGGGGGGAACCCUGAUGCAGCGACGCCGCGUGAGUGAAGAAGUAUUUCGGUAUGUAAAGCUCUAUCAGCAGGGAAGAAGAAAGACGGUACCUGAGUAAGAAGCCCCGGCUAACUACGUGCCAGCAGCCGCGGUAAUACGUAGGGGGCAAGCGUUAUCCGGAUUUACUGGGUGUAAAGGGAGCGUAGACGGUAUGGCAAGUCUGAAGUGAAAGCCCCGGGCUCAACCUGGGAAUUGCUUUGGAAACUGUUAAACUAGAGUGCUGGAGAGGCAGGCGGAAUUCCUAGUGUAGCGGUGAAAUGCGUAGAUAUUAGGAGGAACACCAGUGGCGAAGGCGGCCUGCUGGACAGUAACUGACGUUGAGGCUCGAAAGCGUGGGGAGCAAACAGGAUUAGAUACCCUGGUAGUCCACGCGGUAAACGAUGCAUACUAGGUGUUGGUGGGCAAAGCCCAUCGGUGCCGUCG